ensembl:snRNA U6 U6 spliceosomal RNA
GUCCUGGGCAGCACAUAUACUAAAAUUGGAAUGAUACAGAGAAGAUUAGCAUGGCCCCUGCACAAGGAUGACACGCAAAUCCGAGUCCUGGGAGCCUGUGCACACCAGCUCUUU